AAAACAUCGCCUCUUGAAAAACAUAAGAGGUCCAGCCUGCCCAGUGACACCUGUUCAACGGCCGCGGUAUCCUAACCGUGCGAAGGUAGCGUAAUCACUUGUCCUUUAAAUGGGGACUAGUAUGAAUGGCAUCACGAGGGUUAUACUGUCUCCUUUUUCUAAUCAGUUAAACUAAUCUCCCCGUGAAGAAGCGGGGAUACACCUAUAAGACGAGAAGACCCUAUGGAGCUUUAAACAAAACAGCACUUGCUAUUUUACACGCCAAUCUCAGGAAACUAACCCUUAUUUUAGCCUUCUGUCUGUCAGUUUUAGGUUGGGGUGACCGCGGAGUAAAAAAUAACCUCCACACUGGAAGGGACUUUCCCUAAGCAAAAAGUCACAACUUUAUGCAUCAAUAAAUUGACACCAAUUGACCCAAUAUUUUGAUCAACGAAACAAGUUACCCUAGGGAUAACAGCGCAAUCCACUUCGAGAGCCCUUAUCGACAAGUGGGUUUACGACCUCGAUGUUGGAUCAGGGUACCCCAGUGGUG
rnacentral:rRNA from 1 species